GUGAAGCCCAGCUUGCUGGGUGGAUCAGUGGCGAACGGGUGAGUAACACGUGAGCAACCUGCCCCUGACUCUGGGAUAAGCGCUGGAAACGGCGUCUAAUACUGGAUACGAGAUGUGAUCGCAUGGUCAAUGUCUGGAAAGAUUUUUCGGUUGGGGAUGGGCUCGCGGCCUAUCAGCUUGUUGGUGAGGUAAUGGCUCACCAAGGCGUCGACGGGUAGCCGGCCUGAGAGGGUGACCGGCCACACUGGGACUGAGACACGGCCCAGACUCCUACGGGAGGCAGCAGUGGGGAAUAUUGCACAAUGGGCGAAAGCCUGAUGCAGCAACGCCGCGUGAGGGACGACGGCCUUCGGGUUGUAAACCUCUUUUAGCAGGGAAGAAGCGAGAGUGACGGUACCUGCAGAAAAAGCGCCGGCUAACUACGUGCCAGCAGCCGCGGUAAUACGUAGGGCGCAAGCGUUAUCCGGAAUUAUUGGGCGUAAAGAGCUCGUAGGCGGUUUGUCGCGUCUGCUGUGAAAUCCGGAGGCUCAACCUCCGGCCUGCAGUGGGUACGGGCAGACUAGAGUGCGGUAGGGGAGAUUGGAAUUCCUGGUGUAGCGGUGGAAUGCGCAGAUAUCAGGAGGAACACCGAUGGCGAAGGCAGAUCUCUGGGCCGUAACUGACGCUGAGGAGCGAAAGGGUGGGGAGCAAACAGGCUUAGAUACCCUGGUAGUCCACCCCGUAAACGUUGGGAACUAGUUGUGGGGUCCAUUCCACGGAUUCCGUGACGCAGCUAACGCAUUAAGUUCCCCGCCUGGGGAGUACGGCCGCAAGGCUAAAACUCAAAGGAAUUGACGGGGACCCGCACAAGCGGCGGAGCAUGCGGAUUAAUUCGAUGCAACGCGAAGAACCUUACCAAGGCUUGACAUAUACGAGAACGGGCCAGAAAUGGUCAACUCUUUGGACACUCGUAAACAGGUGGUGCAUGGUUGUCGUCAGCUC
rnacentral:rRNA from 1 species